GACGUAGGGCGCGAGCGUUGUCCGGAAUUAUUGGGCGUAAAGAGCUCGUAGGCGGUCUGUCGCGUCGGUCGUGAAAACUUGGGGCUUAACCCUGAGCUUGCGGUCGAUACGGGCAUGACUGGAGUUCGGCAGGGGAGACUGGAAUUCCUGGUGUAGCGGUGAAAUGCGCAGAUAUCAGGAGGAACACCGGUGGCGAAGGCGGGUCUCUGGGCCGAUACUGACGCUGAGGAGCGAAAGCGUGGGGAGCGAACAGG
rnacentral:rRNA from 1 species